rnacentral:rRNA from 1 species
AGAGUUUGAUCCUGGCUCAGGAUGAACGCUAGCUACAGGCUUAACACAUGCAAGUCGAGGGGCAGCAUGUUGGUUGCUUGCAACCAACGAUGGCGACCGGCGCACGGGUGAGUAACGCGUAUCCAACCUUCCGCAUACUCGGGAAUAGCCUUUCGAAAGAAAGAUUAAUGCCCGAUGGUUUCCCGAAUCCGCAUGAGAACGGGAAUAAAGAUUCAUCGGUAUGCGAUGGGGAUGCGUCCCAUUAGCUUGUUGGCGGGGUAACGGCCCACCAAGGCGACGAUGGGUAGGGGUUCUGAGAGGAAGGUCCCCCACAUUGGAACUGAGACACGGUCCAAACUCCUACGGGAGGCAGCAGUGAGGAAUAUUGGUCAAUGGGCGAGAGCCUGAACCAGCCAAGUAGCGUGCAGGACGACGGCCCUAUGGGUUGUAAACUGCUUUUAUAAGGGAAUAAAGUGAGUCUCGUGAGACUUUUUGCAUGUACCUUAUGAAUAAGGACCGGCUAAUUCCGUGCCAGCAGCCGCGGUAAUACGGAAGGUCCGGGCGUUAUCCGGAUUUAUUGGGUUUAAAGGGAGCGUAGGCCGGAGAUUAAGCGUGUUGUGAAAUGUAGACGCUCAACGUCUGCACUGCAGCGCGAACUGGUUUCCUUGAGUACGCACAAAGUGGGCGGAAUUCGUGGUGUAGCGGUGAAAUGCUUAGAUAUCACGAAGAACUCCGAUUGCGAAGGCAGCUCACUGGAGCGCAACUGACGCUGAAGCUCGAAAGUGCGGGUAUCGAACAGGAUUAGAUACCCUGGUAGUCCGCACGGUAAACGAUGGAUGCCCGCUGUUGGUCUGAAUAGGUCAGCGGCCAAGCGAAAGCAUUAAGCAUCCCACCUGGGGAGUACGCCGGCAACGGUGAAACUCAAAGGAAUUGACGGGGGCCCG